AUUGAACGCUGGCGGCAGGCCUAACACAUGCAAGUCGAGCGGAUGAGAGGAGCUUGCUCUUUGAUUCAGCGGCGGACGGGUGAGUAAUGCCUAGGAAUCUGCCUGGUAGUGGGGGACAACGUUUCGAAAGGAACGCUAAUACCGCAUACGUCCUACGGGAGAAAGUGGGGGAUCUUCGGACCUCACGCUAUCAGAUGAGCCUAGGUCGGAUUAGCUAGUUGGUGAGGUAAUGGCUCACCAAGGCGACGAUCCGUAACUGGUCUGAGAGGAUGAUCAGGCACACUGGAACUGAGACACGGUCCAGACUCCUACGGGAGGCAGCAGUGGGGAAUAUUGGACAAUGGGCGCAAGCCUGAUCCAGCCAUGCCGCGUGUGUGAAGAAGGUCUUCGGAUUGUAAAGCACUUUAAGUUGGGAGGAAGGGCAGUAACUUAAUACGUUGCUGUUUUGACGUUACCGACAGAAUAAGCACCGGCUAACUCUGUGCCAGCAGCCGCCGCAGUAA
rnacentral:rRNA from 1 species